rnacentral:misc_RNA from 1 species
UGCUUCAGUUGAUGAGCGAGCCACAGUUCGUUGUUUCUUUGUGUUCCAAGAUACGAGAUUAGUGUCGAAAUAUAUUGCAAAUCCUGAAGCAGAUUUACGAUCAUCCAGGCUACUGGCCCAAUCAGCAUCACUAUAGACAUUUAGAUGAUUGUGAUUGGACUUUGUUAUUUGAAGUCCAAAAUUCUGAGUGCAUCAAAGGUAGCGUAGUAUCCGUUUUACGGCAACCCAAUGAGAGUCGAGUGGAGCAUGUAAAAAUUGGGACACCUUAUGUACAGCGUAAGAGAUAUCUGGACGAGUAAGUGAUAAGUAUUG